GUUUCUAAGUUGGGAGUGUUGAUGAGUGGUGAAUUUCCACUCAUUUGAGGCUCUUUCCAUAGUUAUUUUGGCUUGUUUUAGUUUAAAAUUGGUGCUUUUAACGUGAUUUUUUUCAUAUUGGCAUGAAAAUGAAAUGGAGAGUUGAUUUAGAAUAUUUGAAGAAAUAAAGUGAACUUGAGGCAAAAAGAGAUCAAGAGCUGAAAAUGCAAUGAGGAGUUUGAAGAAAAGUUUAAUAAAUUUGACAUUGAGAGGAAGGAGCGAGAACUUGCUGCCAAAAAUGCUCAAAGCCAUCGACAGAAAGUGGAGAACUUGGAGAGCAUCACCGUGACUAGAAAAGAAGAAGAGGAACUCGAUGAAUUUGAAAUUACUAAAGGUACUUGCAUUCAAAGGGAAUAAUUUACUGUGACUUAAAGCUAUCAAACAUCCUGUUGGAUGAAAAUGGAAUCACGAAACUGUGUGAUUUUGGAUUAGCAAGAAAAUUGAGUGAUAUAUAAAAAAACACCUUCCUCCCAGGUAGUUCACCUCUCUCUUCCCUCCUUUUUACCCUAAUAUGAACAAAGGAAAAGUUAAAUUGGUGGCAUAACUGUUUGGAAGUUCAUUAAAGGUAAACUGUUUGAAAGUGCUUUUGACCAAUUAUAUGACGUUGAAGUUCAAUCAUGAUUCCUUUUCCUCUUGUAGUUCUUAUAAAAAAUUUAUUUCUUUGGUUUCUCAAAACCAUCUAUGAACCUUUCAGAUAUAAUUUGGCAUCCAUCUGAUUUCUUAGUCUGACCUGUAAUGCCUCGCAGAAAAUCAGAUAAAGGUUCAGAUGCAAUUCCUUCACUUUCAUUUGAUGCACCACCUCAGCUGUCUAAUUUUGUCAAAAUGUCAAAGGAGCAAUAAGAAUAGUAGAAUCAUCAUUAUUAGUGGGAAUACUCCCUCAGGGGAGAAGCAAAAUGUGCAGAUACCUUGAGCUUUUUUAGCAGCAAUGCUGAUGCAGCCAACAUCUUGACCAAUGACUCUAUUGUGUUGGUUCUAGUCAAAAUCCUUCGUCAC